GGGAGAGUUUCGCACUAUGGGCGUAAGCGCGCGCAGGUGGUUCCUUAAGUCUGAUGUGAAAGCCCACGGCUCAACCGUGGAGGGUCAUUGGAAACUGGGGGACUUGAGUGCAGAAGAGGAAAGUGGAAUUCCAAGUGUAGCGGUGAAAUGCGUAGAGAUUUGGAGGAACACCAGUGGCGAAGGCGACUUUCUGGUCUGUAACUGACACUGAGGCGCGAAAGCGUGGGGAGCAAACAGGAUUAGAUACCCUGGUAGUCCACGCCGUAAACGAUGAGUGCUAAGUGUUAGAGGGUUUCCGCCCUUUAGUGCUGCAGCUAACGCAUUAAGCACUCCGCCUGGGGAGUACGGCCGCAAGGCUGAAACUCAAAGGAAUUGACGGGGGCCCGCACAAGCGGUGGAGCAUGUGGUUUAAUUCGAAGCAACGCGAAGAACCUUACCAGGUCUUGACAUCCUCUGACAACCCUAGAGAUAGGGCUUUCCCCUUCGGGGGACAGAGUGACAGGUGGUGCAUGGUUGUCGUCAGCUCGUGUCGUGAGAUGUUGGGUUAAGUCCCGCAACGAGCGCAACCCUUGAUCUUAGUUGCCAGCAUUCAGUUGGGCACUCUAAGGUGACUGCCGGUGACAAACCGGAGGAAGGUGGGGAUGACGUCAAAUCAUCAUGCCCCUUAUGACCUGGGCUACACACGUGCUACAAUGGAUGGUACAAAGGGCUGCAAACCUGCGAAGGUAAGCGAAUCCCAUAAAGCCAUUCUCAGUUCGGAUUGCAGGCUGCAACUCGCCUGCAUGAAGCCGGAAUCGCUAGUAAUCGCGGAUCAGCAUGCGCGGGUGAAUACGUUUCCCGGGCCUUGUACACACCGCCCGUCACACCACGAGAGUUUGUAACACCCGAAGUCGUGAAGUAACCUUCAUGGAGCCAGCCGCCUAAGUGGACAUCGACGGGAGCUUGCUCCCUGAGAUUAGCGGCGGACGGGUGAGUAACACGUGGGCAACCUGCCUAUAAGACUGGGAUAACUUCGGGAAACCGGAGCUAAUACCGGAUACGUUCUUUUCUCGCAUGAGAGAAGAUGGAAAGACGGUUUACGCUGUCACUUAUAGAUGGGCCCGCGGCGCAUUAGCUAGUUGGUGAGGUAAUGGCUCACCAAGGCGACGAUGCGUAGCCGACCUGAGAGGGUGAUCGGCCACACUGGGACUGAGACACGGCCCAGACUCCUACGGGAGGCAGCAGUAGGGAAUCUUCCGCAAUGGACGAAAGUCUGACGGAGCAACGCCGCGUGAACGAAGAAGGCCUUCGGGUCGUAAAGUUCUGUUGUUAGGGAAGAACAAGUACCAGAGUAACUGCUGGUACCUUGACGGUACCUAACCAGAAAGCCACGGCUAACUACGUGCCAGCAGCCGCGGUAAUACGUAGGUGGCAAGCGUUGUCCGGAAUUAUUGGGCGUAAAGCGCGCGCAGGUGGUUCCUUAAGUCUGAUGUGAAAGCCCACGGCUCAACCGUGGAGGGUCAUUGGAAACUGGGGGACUUGAGUGCAGAAGAGGAAAGUGGAAUUCCAAGUGUAGCGGUGAAAUGCGUAGAGAUUUGGAGGAACACCAGUGGCGAAGGCGACUUUCUGGUCUGAACGACACGAGCGAAAAGUGGG
rnacentral:rRNA from 1 species